UAUUAUUCAGAUUGAUGUUAACAAAUUCAUGAAAACGUUUAUAAAAUGCAGUUAUUUUCUGUACAGCCAGCACUUCUACAAUUUUUCUUGUAACAAUUACGAUUUCUUCGCUUAAUAAAACAUGUACGGAAAACUUCUUGUUGUGGUGUAUUUAAUUUCAGCAGUUUCAUCAACUGACUAUCCAGCAUGCUUACAAAAGCUGGCUGAAAAAGUGGCCGGUCACAAAGAACAAGGUCUUGUCCCCUUUGGAAACUCCAACACCUAUCAGGUGUCUGGGAAUGAUAAGCGAAGUUUUCAAACUAUCAAGUUCGCCAAGCCUUACGGGACGCCACCGACUGUAGUGUUAUCAUUGGAAACUAUGGAUGCAAGUAAAGCACAAACUUGAGGUAUUCGGUUGCUGUGGGACAGAUCACAACAACCGGUGCUCAAAUCACUUUGGCUACAUGGGCAGACACACAGAUCUUCGGUGCCUAUGUGCGCUGGUAUGCAUUCGAAUAGAAAUCUUAAACAAAAUUUAAAGACGGCUCUUUAUUUUUACAUAACUGUUCUGAAACUAACGUCUUUAAAAAUUAUGUUUUAAAUUCUGCUCAAUACAAAGCAAAAGU